AGCGAACGCUGGCGGCAGGCUUAACACAUGCAAGUCGAACGGGCGUAGCAAUACGUCAGUGGCAGACGGGUGAGUAACACGUGGGAACAUCCCCCUCGGUUCGGAAUAACUCAGGGAAACUUGAGCUAAUACCGGAUAAGUCCGAGAGGAGAAAGAUUCAUCGCCGAGGGAUUGGCCCGCGUCUGAUUAGCUAGUUGGUGAGGUAAUGGCUCACCAAGGCGACGAUCAGUAGCUGGUCUGAGAGGAUGAUCAGCCACACUGGGACUGAGACACGGCCCAGACUCCUACGGGAGGCAGCAGUGGGGAAGAUUGGACAAUGGGCGAAAGCUUGAUCCAGCCAUGCCGCGUGAGUGAUGAAGGCCUUAGGGUUGUAAGGCUCUUUUGUCCGGGAAGAUAAUGACUGUACCGGAAGAAUAAGCCCCGGCUAACUUCGUGCCAGCCGCCGCGGUAA
rnacentral:rRNA from 1 species